rnacentral:rRNA from 1 species
CUCGUAGGUGGUUUGUCGCGUUGUUCGUGAAAACUCACAGCUCAACUGUGGGCGUGCGGGCGAUACGGGCAGACUGGAGUACUGCAGGGGAGACUGGAAUUCCUGGUGUAGCGGUGGAAUGCGCAGAUAUCAGGAGGAACACCGGUGGCGAAGGCGGGUCUCUGGGCAGUAACUGACGCUGAGGAGCGAAGCGUGGGAGCGAACA